GUGCCCUUUUUAAGGUUGACUGAGUGCCUUAAGAGGCUAACACAGAAGGGUACAUGAAGCAAGUCUCCAUAAGACCCAGAGAAGAGGUGGCAAAACUCCUCUCUGGAUCCUGUCUGGAGUCACAGCU